GGGGAUUUAGCUCAGUGGUAGAGCGCUUGCCUAGCAAGCACAAGGCCCUGGGUUCAUUCCCCAGCUCUA
rnacentral:tRNA from 1 species